rnacentral:rRNA from 1 species
AUGCAAGUCGAGGGCGAUCGGGAGUAGCAAUACUGCCGGCGACCGGCGCAAGGUGCGUAACGCGUGAGCAACAUGCCCGUAUCAGGGGGAUAAUCCAUGGAAACGUGGUCUAAUACCCCAUAGUAAUUAUGUAAGGCAUCUUAUAUAAUUUAAAGCUUUGGUGGAUACGGAUUGGCUCGCGUGACAUUAGCUAGAUGGUAAGGUAACGGCUUACCAUGGCUACGAUGUCUAGGGGUUCUGAGAGGAAGGUCCCCCACACUGGAACUGAGACACGGUCCAGACUCCUACGGGAGGCAGCAGUGAGGAAUAUUGGACAAUGGAUGGAAAUCUGAUCCAGCCAUGGCCGCGUGCAAGGAAGACGGCCCUAUGGGUUGUAAACUGCUUUUGUAUGGGAGCAAUAAGGGCUACGCGUAGUCCGAUGAGAGUACCAUACGAAUAAGCACCGGCUAACUCCGUGCCAGCCGCCGC